GGCCUUCUGUCUGUCCCUCCUCAUGUCCUCACUUCCCUUUCUUUAUCUCCACAGCCUGCGCUCAUGUGGUCUCACCACUGAAUGCUGCUCAUCUCUCUCCUCAGUCCUCUCUUGUCCACACUCACAGCUGACUGAACUGGACCUGAGCGGAAACAACCUGGGAGAUUCAGGAACUCAUCACCUGUGUGAGGUUUUGCGGACCACCAGCUGUAAAUUAAAGUCACUGUGGCUGAAGUUUAAUAAUGUCAAGGCGAGUGGGAAGAAGAACCUGAGGUCAUUACAGGAUGAGCUGAACAGGAAUGUGCAGAAGGUGAAUAUUUACAUAUGGUGAAGACUGGACAUGCUGACCAACUGACCCCUGUGACGGUGCCCCCUGUCCACUCCCUCUAAAUUCUCCUCUUUAUUCUUUAAUAACCUCCUCAGCUCUCCUUCACAUUUAAUAAACUCUCCAUAUCUUCUUCUCA